rnacentral:rRNA from 1 species
UACGGAGGACCCAAGCGUUAUUCGGAUUUAUUGGGUUUAAAGGGUGCGUAGGCGGAUUAGUAAGUCAGAGGUGAAAGCCCACAGCUUAACUGUGGAACUGCCUUUGAUACUGCUAACCUUGAGUGCAGAUGAUGUGGGCGGAAUAUGACAUGUAGCGGUGAAAUGCUUAGAUAUGUCAUAGAACACCGAUUGCGAAGGCAGCUCACAAAACUGUAACUGACGCUGAGGCACGAAAGCAUGGGGAUCGAACAGG